UAGGGAAUCUUCCGCAAUGGGCGAAAGCUUGACGGAGCAACGCCGCGUGAGUGAUGAAGGUCUUCGGAUCGUAAAACUCUGUUAUUAGGGAAGAACAAAUGUGUAAGUAACUAUGCACGUCUUGACGGUACCUAAUCAGAAAGCCACGGCUAACUACGUGCCAGCAGCCGCGGUAAUACGUAGGUGGCAAGCGUUAUCCGGAAUUAUUGGGCGUAAAGCGCGCGUAGGCGGUUGUUUAAGUCUGAUGUGAAAGCCCACGGCUCAACCGUGGAGGGUCAUUGGAAACUGGAAAACUUGAGUGCAGAAGAGGAAAGUGGAAUUCCAUGUGUAGCGGUGAAAUGCGCAGAGAUAUGGAGGAACACCAGUGGCGAAGGCGACUUUCUGGUCUGUAACUGACGCUGAUGUGCGAAAGCGUGGGGAUCAAACAGG
rnacentral:rRNA from 1 species